AUUGAACGCUGGCGGCAGGCCUAACACAUGCAAGUCGAACGAGUGGCGGACGGGUGAGUAAUGUCUGGGAACCUGCCCGAUGGAGGGGGAUAACUACUGGAAACGGUAGCUAAUACCGCAUACCAUCGGAUGUGCCCAGAUUGGAUUAGCUAGGUGGUGGGGUAAAGGCUCACCAAGGCAACGAUCCCUAGCUGGUCUGAGAGGAGGACCAGCCACACUGGAACUGAGACACGGUCCAGACGCCUACGGGAGGCAGCAGUGGGGAAUAUUGGACAAUGGGGGCAAGCCUGAUGCAGCCAUGCCGCGUGUAUGAAGAAGGCCUUCGGGUUGUAAAGUACUUUCAGCGGGGAGGCGUUACCCGCAGAAGAAGCACCGGCUAACUCCGUGCCAGCAGCCGCGGUAAUAC
rnacentral:rRNA from 1 species